rnacentral:rRNA from 1 species
CCUACGGGUGGCAGCAGUCGAGAAUAAUGCACAAUGGGGGAAACCCUGAUGGAGCGAAGCAGCGUGGGGGAAUGAAGGUCUACGGAUUGUAAACCUCUGUCAUGAGGGAGCAAAGUAAAAAGAGAGUACCACAAGAGGAAGAGACGGCUAACUCUGUGCCAGCAGCUGCGGUAAUACAGAGGUCGCAAGAGUUGUUCGGAAUCACUGGGCGUAAAGCGUGCGUAGGCUGUUUCGUAAGUCGGGUGUGAAAGGCGAGGGCUCAACCCGCGGACGGCACAUGUAACUGCGAGACUUGAGUAAUGUAGGGGUAACCGGAAUUCUCGGUGUAGCAGUGAAAUGCUUAGAUAUCGAGAGGAACACUCGUGGCGAAGGCGGGUUCCUGGACAUUAACUGACGCUGAGGCACGAAGGCCAGGGUAGCGAAAGGGAUUAGAUACCCCAGUAGUC